rnacentral:lncRNA from 1 species
GCAUAUAGAAGGAAAAGAAGCCGCAAUUCUUCUCCUUCUUCGGUUCCCUUCUGCAUGGUAGCUGAGCGCUGCAAUUCAGCUCCUCUACAGAUUUUUGGAUUACUUCGGCAAAUUGGACUGGGAGAACUGUUGUGUAAGUUAAAAUGGACCAGUUUGCAAAUCCUCCCUGCCUGAUAUUUGCUUUAUGUUGGUCUUGUUUCAGAUUGUGACUUGUUAGCAUUGGACACAAUAUCAGCACUCAACUAUUGAAGAUGACGAGCUCCCAGAAUACCUUGGUGAUGGAGUUAGUUAGGCAUAAAUUAGUGAUUUUGUUUAUGUAGUUUGUUAUGUUUCAAUAUAUAGUCCAUAUUGCAUCCAAAGACACAACUUGUUGGUUAGACUAAGUUUUGAAUUUCUUGUAUGCUAUUGUACCAGUUGAUUUUGAACAAUUAAAUGAAUUAUAAUUUUUUUUUUC